AAAGCAAUGGGGAGUUGACCAGAAGCUAGCUGCUGCUUGGGGAUUGGCUGGGUGUGUAUUGCAGUGCCUGGCAAUAAAGCAGAACCAUGCACCCAGCAACACCUUUGAUCUCAACCAUAUGGAGCUCCUCCGUGCUCUUGGAAA